ACAUAACUGAUGCCUCCGCGUAUCGACUUUGUGCGCAUUUUAGCUAUUAUGUGUUCUUUUAAUUAAAAUGAUUCUUUUUAAGAUUCAUCUAUUAAAAAUUUGCUUCGGCAUAAUUUUUUUUGAUGAUCUUGUUACUUUGAGUAAAUUAGAGUGUUCAAAGCAAACAGAUAUAGCAUUUGUGCGUUUGAAUACUACAGCAUGGAAUAACAAAAUUGAACAAGUCAGAAUUUUUUUGUUCUUUUUUCUUAUUUUGGCUUAGUUACGAUUAAUAGGAGUAGCUUGGGGGCAUUUGUAUUCAGAUGUCAGAGGUGAAAUUCUUAGAUUUUCUGGAGACAAACAACUGCGAAAGCAUUUGCCUAAAAUACUUCCAUUAAUCAAGAACGAAAGUUAAGGGAGUGAAGACGAUCAGAUACCGUCGUAAUCUUAACCAUAAACUAUGCCGACUAGGCUUUGGAUGAAAGAUUUUAAAAUAAGAGUUUUUCUUUUCUCUCCGGAGAUUAGAACUCUUAGAUUGCUUCCUUCAGUGCCUUAUGAGAAAUCAAAGUCUUUGGGUUCUGGGGCGAGUAUUCGCGCAAGCGAGAAAGUUAAAAGAAUUGACGGAAGGGCACCCCCAGGCGUGGAGCUUGCGGCUUAAUUUGACUCAACACGGGAAAACUCACUAGUUUAAGACAAGAGUAGGAUUAACAGAUUAAUAGCUCUUUCUUGAUUUCUUGGAUGGUGAUGCAUGGCCGUUUUUAGUUCGUGAAUAUGAUUUGUCUGGUUAAUUCCGAUAACGAACGAGAUCUUAACCUGCUAAUUAGCGGCAAAUACGAUAUAUUCUUAUGUAGAAUUGAAUAUAGUGGAUUUGUUAGAUUUUGAAGAAAAUAUUGGAAUUACGUUAAAUGUGAUUCCUUUCCCUUUUCUACUUAAUUUACAUUUCCAUCUAUUUCUUUUUUGCGUAUGAAUGUUAUUUGCUUGAUUGUAAAGCUUCUUAGAGGAACGAUGUGUG
rnacentral:rRNA from 1 species